UACGGGAGGCAGCAGUGGGGAAUAUUGCACAAUGGGCGCAAGCCUGAUGCAGCCAUGCCGCGUGUAUGAAGAAGGCCUUCGGGUUGUAAAGUACUUUCAGUCGUGAGGAAGGUGUUAAGGUUAAUAACCUUAGCAAUUGACGUUAGCGACAGAAGAAGCACCGGCUAACUCCGUGCCAGCAGCCGCGGUAAUACGGAGGGUGCGAGCGUUAAUCGGAAUUACUGGGCGUAAAGGGCACGCAGGCGGUUAAUUAAGUUGGAUGUGAAAUCCCCGGGCUUAACCUGGGAAUGGCAUUCAAGACUGGUUAGCUAGAGUCUUGUAGAGGGGGUAGAAUUCCAUGUGUAGCGGUGAAAUGCGUAGAGAUGUGGAGGAAUACCGGUGGCGAAGGCGGCCCCUGGGACAAAGACUGACGCUCAUGUGCGAAAGCGUGGGGA
rnacentral:rRNA from 1 species